ACUUUUUCCUCUUUCACUUCCACUUUGGCAUUACAGUAAACUGCGCUGUGGCCUCAGACACUAAGAUGUCAAACUACAGUAUAGUAAGCUGGACUAUAAAUGAAGAUGAAUGCACGUCUCAGCAGAAGGGUCAGGCAUAGGAUACAAAUUAGAGAUUGUUUUUCCUUUUCUUGGCAGCAGAUUCUGCCCUCUGUUUUCUCAAAGGACCUCAUAGAUAGAAUCUGGUGACAUGAAACUAGGGAAAUAUGGUAAAUCAAGCCCGUGGAGUACCACUUCACUUUUCCUCACAAAGUGGGUCACUUGUACAGUGUAACUUUAAUGAACUCAAUAAGAAAGACACAAUCUGGAUUUUAGUAAGUAUGAAUAUUUACGACAGAUGAAAGAAUCUGUGCAACGUGGAUAGACUGUAUUAUGCAGGAGAUCAGACUAACGGACAAGCAGAAAUCCUGUGAUUUUACAACUCAGGUACUAUUAACUCUGCAGUUUUUGUGCUUUGCUGUUUGGGAAAUUGCCUUGGGAAUGCAAACACUGCAGCUGAGUGACAGGCCUUUAUCACCUUCUCCACCUCCUACUAUCCAGCUGGCUGCUUAAGGGACUUCAGAGUUUCUGCUUCAAUGGAUGGCAAAUACCUUUGCAGCACUUGUGCUCCACCCUUGCCUCCAGAAGAAAUACAGCUUACAGAGUUGAAGGUGAGACUGGGAUUACUGUAAGCCACGUGUAUGGGAACUGUUGAAUUACGGUCUGAAUCUCUGAUUGACCACCUGAGGCAAGCACUGAGUCAGUCACAGGAGCACAGAUGAAGGCAAUUUGUCUGUGUGACCGGAAGGGAUGGAGCCAGGCUCCACCUCUCCUAAACCCCAUGUAAGGGCUGACUGCCACUAAAGAAGGAUUUUUUCCUGGAGAUUGCUCCUUGGGGAGUUUUUGUGAGCCUACAACACCACUACUUAAGGAAGAAAAUGACCUCAUUGUUCUAAGACGCAGAGCACCUGUCAGAACACUCAGCUCUCCUGAGAAGGAAGAAGGAGAUGGCAGUACAAACAAGGUGGACGAAAUGCCACUACAAAUCCAAGUGUGCUUCCUUGCCAGAUAAUUUUCUACUGCCAGAUAAACAAACAGAAUAAAAUUUCUGGUGUCUCAACUGCAUAAAUACAACAUGUGUGAUCGCAGCUUGGAGGUAACAUCUUAGCUGAACACAGAGAUCUGUUACUUUAUACACUGCCACCAAAACUGUAAAGAACAACCAUUUUAAGAACCAGCCUAAUAAGACUGUCCUAAAUAGUGCCAGAAUGAUGUCCAAGGAGGAAACAUUUAUAAAAUCUGCACAUUUGUCCAAGUACUGUUCUCUUUCAGGUUUGGUAAGCUAUUGGAAAUCUUGAAACAUCCUGCUAAUGUUGUAUCAGUUGUGCUGCAGUGUUAGGAAUGCUGGGAGCUUCCAUAAGCAGAAACUGAGUGAACUGUGUGAGGUCCGGGAUAGACAUGUGAGGGCAAGGCAUCAUGGAGUGAACCUCGUGCUCUGAGCAGAAUGAUGAUGAUCUCAGAGAAGUAAGUAGCAAUUUCACUGAGUUGUUUCAGAGUUUAUAAACCAAAGUCAAUUUAAAGAUAUUUUAGUUUCCUUGACUCCGAGCCAGAAACAAAUUUUUAAGGGAAAAAAAAAGACAACAACAACAACAACAACAACAAAAAAAACCCACAAGGAAGGAAAAAAGAAAAAAAGAAAUAAAGGGAAAAAAGAGGGAUUUUUCAGUUCUAGGCCUCACUUUGAAGAGGAUGACUGUAAUUUAUUUUGAUUAAAAUACUUAACACUCAUUAAAACCAAAACAACGAAGUGAAAGAUCGCUUUGUCUCUCAGUUAGACUUAGUUGAGAGACACCCAAGUAAGAGAUUCCAAGAGAAUCAAGGGAAAUCUAAGGGAUUCCAAGAGACCAAGGAAGGGCAUCAUGCUUUUAACUCCUGCUUUGCUGAAUGCUUGUUUAUGUAAAGACAAAGACCCUCGUGGAAGACUGACAGUACAGUUCUGCUGCCCAAUGUUUUAGGUGGUAGGUAAUACACUAUUUCUGAACCUGUAAAGUUUGAACAAGCAAUCUAUAGAUGUUCUGUUGAACUUUGGUAAACAAAAAGAUCCCUGAAUUCCUUAGGUCAUGUGUUAAUCUACAUCCAGCUGCAUUUGGGUUCUUGAUGCAGCAACAAAAUCCUGAGACUUCAGUCCCUGAGAAGCUCAGCUGUGUCUACUGGCUCCUGUUACCAAUCUGGGAAAAAUAAAACAUACCUAGGAUAAAGCAAGACAAGUCUGACUGCAGAGAGCAUUGUAUCAGUGAAAGGAACUGAGCUUCAGUUAUGCAAAUAAGCAAGGUAGGGCUUUAAAAAUUCUAAAUAACAGGAAGAGUUGAACAGUCUUGCUCUUGCUGAUUAUAACUUGAACAUCUAGCACUACUCUUACUUUUUUGUCAUUAUAUAAACACAAUUAUGUGUAUUGGGGUUUUUUUGUUGUUGCUGGUUUGCUUUUGAUUUUGUUUUUGGUAGAGAAAAGAAUUAAAUAUAUAUAUAUAUUCUGUCUAUUUUCUUCAUUUUCAGUUUGCCUAACUGAAAAAAUAGGUUAUUCUCAGAGGGAUAAUAACUGUGAUUACUAUGCAGGGUACUAUAUAUUACACAUAUGUUGCAUUGAUUAAAUAUCCAUAAAGUUAUCUUCACUUUUAUUUCCCAAAGUAAUUGCUUACUACUUUUUGUGAUACUGUAUUUCCUAGUUAUUUUAAAUAUUUUAAGCUACAGAGCUCUGUGAGAAGUGGUUUGUCUACCCAGUGCUUAUAAAAUAAUUAAUUUUUGAUGUACAUUUCUAUUGUUGUCUUAAAAUUUCCAUCUCAGCUCAUGUUUGAUGGUGUAAAGUAUUGAAUUUAACAUGAAUUUCUAGCACAGCUCUGUUUUGUGAAUGAACUACAUGUUGUAGUUUCUUACUUCCAAAAGUAAUUAUGUGGCAACACGUUUUCCAGUAGCUAUUUAUUUUCUGUUUCUGAAAUGCAUUUUCUAUGUGCAUAUAAGAUACACUGUAGAUGCAUCUUCUGCAGUUAUUUGGUAGCCUUUGCUCCAUAGUUGUACUGCCGCCUUUAUAUCUUCUGUAUGGCAGAAUUUGAAUUAAGCAAGCUGAGCAUGCUUAUAAAUUAUUUUGCUGGAAAUAUGCAAUUCUUGUAAAAAUUCAUCCACAAAUUGCAGUAGUUUGUUUUGUUUAUAAUAAAUACUUAUGAACUAUGAAAAAUGUGUCACAAAUUAUGGAACAAUAUUGUAAAAUCAAAUGUUACCCAACAGUUGGAAGCAGCUUAUCUGCCAA